GGCGGCGUGCCUAACACAUGCAAGUCGCACGAGAAAGGGACUUCGGUCCUGAGUACAGUGGCGCACGGGUGAGUAACACGUGAAUCAUCUACCUUCGAGUGGGGAAUAACUGAGAGAAAUCUUAGCUAAUACCGCAUAAUACCUACGGGUCAAAGCAGCAAUGCGCUUGAAGAGGAGUUCGCGGCAGAUUAGUUAGUUGGCGGGGUAAUGGCCCACCAAGACGAUGAUCUGUAUCCGGCCUGAGAGGGCGCACGGACACACUGGAACUGAAACACGGUCCANACUCCUACGGGAGGCAGCAGUGGGGAAUUUUGCGCAAUGGGGGAAACCCUGACGCAGCAACGCCGCGUGGAGGAUGAAAUCCCUUGGGAUGUAAACUCCUUUCGAUGGGGAAGAUAAUGACGGUACCCAUAGAAGAAGCCCCGGCUAACUUCGUGCCAGCAGCCGCGGUAAUACGAGGGGG
rnacentral:rRNA from 1 species